AAAAUUUUAAUGGUCGAACAGACCAACCCUUAAAGAUUUCUGCACCUUUAGGAUAUUCUGGUCCAACAUCGAGGUCACAAACCUUUUUUUCGAUAAGAACUCUUAAAAAAGAUAAUGCUGUUAUCCCUACGGUAACUAUUUUCGUUAAUCAAAUCUUUUGGAUCAAUACGAGUAAGUAUUUAUAAAAUCAAGGAAGUUUUGCUUGUUCCUCAGUCGCCCCAACCAAAAUUUUUAAUAGUUAUUUUUUAAAAUAUUACUUUUAUCUACUAAAUUUUUUUAAGCUCGAUAGGGUCUUCUUGUCUUUUAAUUUUAUUCAAACCUCUUCAUUUGAAAGUAAAAUUUUAUUAAAUGUAAAAGAGACAGUUUUGCUCUUGUGAAACCAUUCAUUCCAGUCCUCAAUUAUAGAACAAAUUAUUAUGCUACCUUAGCACAGUUAGGAUACUGCGGCCGUUAAAAAAAAUCACUGGGCAGGUCGGACUCUUUAUAUUUAAUUGACAAAGAGCC
rnacentral:rRNA from 1 species